UUAAUUUUUGCUCGUCUCUCUUUGGUUUCCGGAUCGGCGGGCUCGUGUCCAGUUGCUCCGGGCGGCCGAACAUAUUCAAUGACCGGCUCCCCUGCCAUCCCUAAAGGCAAUCUGGAUUUGUUUAUGAUGUUUGGCGACACAUGCCAGCAGCCCUACCAAUAGUGAAUUGCAGUCAUCCAGACACGAGAAGACAAGUUCCCUGACUGGUACCUGAGCCACUUCUUGUCUUUGGUCAACUUCUAUGAAUGGACGAACCUCCAGGAAGGACGGCAUUAUGAACUCAGCGGACCGGGAAGCCUCAACGGCAUGCUGCUUCCCUCCUGAGACUGAGUGCAGCUGCUGAUGUUGUGCCUUGUGUUUAUUGGGAGACGUCUCUCCCUUCUGUGGAGCUGUCACUUCGUUUUAUCCAGGAGCCCUGCUAAUUUUUCAAUCGUGAUGCCACGAAAUUAGCUUCAGUGUGAUGAGUGAAGCAGUGUAACGUUACUGAACUCACUGCCAUUUCAUUUGGAUAGAUUGGGGAGCCGGCAUGAAUAACAAUUAGGGAUAGUAUAAACCAGAGUGUAUAUGAAUACAGUAAGACAGCCAGAGCCGGCAUGAAUCAGGCAUAAACUCUCAUCAGAAGGGAACUGAUCAAGUCCCACCUUGAUAUCCUAGCUGUCUUAAGAUGAAUGCUCGGCACACAGGAAGCCGUUUGUGAGCGGCACUUCUCUGCCUUGAAGUAUAUCUAAUGGCGACUCAGGAGCAGUCUCUCACAAGGACACCUAGAGGCCUUUAUUUUGACGGACGCUCUAAUGGCCCUGGGUACUGACAUGGUGGUCAAUAGAGCAGCAGAAAAAAGGGAGCCGCAGAGAAAACUGCCACUUUGGUGGGGUAGCUGGGACGUGUUAUUUGAUAACUUAUUUACCAUUGUCUUUACUCACACACUUCUCACACGUUUUUUGCGGUUGACUGUGCUGUCUGUUGUAGCGCCGCGACACAUGAGCGCUGUCUACUUCUCUGACAGACUGCAGUCAGCCAAAUCUCCCUGAGAAGCGACAAAACAGUAUUUUAUGUCUCAGUGUGUAUUGUAGCUGUUAUACCAACUGUUUUUCAUCUAGGCUUCAGAUAAUGGCAGUUGUUCAGUAACAACAAUUCAAUACGUGUUCAGUACAACUCUUAUAACACAGUACUCUGAUGCAGCUUUGUGGUGAUUUUUAAGGGCUGGUAUAUAUACAUAUAUUUAUACCAUAUAUAUAUACAGCUCUGGAAAAUUAAGAGAC